UUGCCAGACUAAAUUCCCAUGUCUGCUAUAUUGCUGCCCAUCUUGGACAUCUCUCCAAAUUCUUCCUGAAGAUUUAUCCCAAGCACCCUAAGUUGACUUCUUUUUAUUCUUGUACCCACACCAUCUUCAUCUUUGGAGGCCAGUUAAGAUCAAAGACUUUGGAACCAGACCCCCUGAAUUCAAAUCCUAACCAGUUGUUUGAACUUAGGGCCCCAGAUGUUGUAAAACGCAGCCGUGGUUAAGAACUACUGCUUCAGAGCAGUGCUACUCAAAUUGGAGUGCGUCAGCAUCACUUCGGAGCUUGCUCAGACACAGCUGUCUGGACCCCACCCCCAGAGUUUCCCAUUGGUCACAUUGCUCCCUGUCUUCCUCCCGUGAAAUUCAGAGAAGUGAAGUAAGGAGAAAGGUCUCAUCCAUCCCUUCUGUAUAGUAAAUUCUAAUCUGUUUUCAAAAUAAAUACUCAACUGACAAAUAUUAAGAGGAAGUGAGGAAUGAAAAAGAAUCCAGCUAAUCCUGAUUGCGUAUUUAAUGCUUAUUUGAGAACUAUAUCUUUCUCCACAUCUCUACCCCCUCAUCAAUAUGUUAUCUGCCAUCUGCAAAAACAAAGGUAACAGAUA